AGGGAGCAGAUGCCAGUCAGUGUCUGAUGUGUCCCCUGGCACCUCACAUGAAAGAUGGAAGGAUGUGGAUGAAGAUGACAGUGGGCCUCCCCAGCCUGUGUUCAGGCCUGCUCGUGAACCUGGGCCACAGUUGGUGACAACUGACAGAUACACACCGCUGCAGUUGUUCCAUCUCCAUCUGUGUUGCAGACCAUCAUGCAACACUCUAAUGCCUAUGCAAGCAAACAUCGCCAGGAAACAGACAAGUCAUGGAAAAGCAUCUCUGUGGAAGACAUGAAGUCUUACCUGGCGCUUGUGAUUUUCAUGAGUCUCAUGAAGGUGUGUGCUUUGACAGACUAUUGGAGGAGGUCUGACGUGUACAGUGUUCCCCUUCCUGCAAGGACCAUGUCCUGUAGGAAGUUUCUGAACAUUGCUAAUCCUCUCUAUCUUAGCGAUCCUCAGGAUGAUGAAGCAAACGAAGGAAAGAAGGGAACCGCAGCCUAUGACCGCUUGGGGAAGAUCAAGCCUCUGUAUGACAACAUUAGGGAUGCCUGCAAAGCAUUUUUUCAUCCUGGUCAAAACAUCUCCAUAGAUGAAAGGAUGGUGGCAUCCAAGGCGAGGUCUGGGCUCAAGCAAUACAUGAAGAACAAACCCACUAAAUAGGGCUACAAGCUUUUUGUUUUGGCAGAUUCCCAGUGUGGUUAUACAUCAGAGUUCUUUGUGUACGAAGGCAAGCGAAUGUCAUCUCCGAAUGGGCUGAGCUAUGAGUCUGUCAUGGCACUCAUAGAUGAAAAGUAUCUGGGCACUGGUUAUAAGCUGUACGUGGACAACUUUUACACCAGUCCCAAGCUUUUCAGAGACCUCCUCUCUAAGAGGAUUUGGGCAUGUGGCACCAUUCGUUCAAACAGGAUUGGUUUCCCAAAGACGGCCACCAAUAAACUGCCACCGAAUGCUCCACCAGGGUCAAUUCGAUGGAUCAGAGAGGAUGACCUGCUGUUUGUGGAAUGGAAAGACACCCGGGAAGUGCUGAUGUGCUCCACUUUCCACAAAGCAUAUGGAGGUGACACAGUGCAAAGGAGUAUCAAGGACAAUGAUGGGCAGUGGUCUAUUGUGCAUGUGCCAGUGCCUGGUGCUGUGCUGGACUACAACAGGUUCAUGGGGGGAGUGGACCUGUCAGAUGCCCUCAUUGGUUACUACAAAGUGCUUCAUAAGACACGGAAGUGGUACCGAUCCUUCUUUUACCACUUUGUAGACAUCGCUGUUGUCAAUGCCUUCAUUUUGCAUCAGCAACUGGCCAGAGCAAAGAGGGAAAGACCCCUGACCCAGAAAGCAUUCAGGGAAACCCUUGUUAUGGAACUCUCAGGUUUGGAAUCAGGCGGAGCUGCAAUCCCAGCUCCAUAUACCAUCUGCCACAAUCCGAAGCACAUCACGGAUGACAGCACUUCUGGACGACGAAAGUGCAGACUUUACCAUCAGAAGACGCCAGUCAUGUGUGCAACAUGUGAGGUGCCACUGUGUUUCCUUCCGAAACGGGACUGCUACAAUGACUGGCAUCGGAGGGAGGGGAAAUAUUGAUUAGUGUGUGGUAUUUAGUCUGUCAUGUUCCAUUUUUAUUUGCACUUUAUAUUGUUCAAAGUGUUCAAAGCUAAUAGUUGUUCAAGAUUUUUUUCCAAGUUUAGGUGGAGUUCAGACCCUGAGAAAUGCAGUUCCAAGGAGUGAGGUGAUGAACAACAAUCCACAUCCAUGUGUAUCUUCAGAUUCUGCACUGUUGAAAAAAAAUGUGACAGACUGGCAUGAGGCAGUAUACUUACACACACACAAUUAUACACAGAGUUACAAAGUUGAUUUGUUUUACUUACACACUUUUUCUGUCUCUGUUUCCUUUUUUUUCGCAUGGGUUUCUUUGGAGUCUGGGUUGUUGAAGAAAAUGUGGCACAAGGUAGUCCUAGUGGAUGUCUUCUGAGUCUGCACUGUUGAAGAGCACAUAAAAUGCUGACAUGAGGCAGUACUAGCGUCUUUGGUUUCCAGUUGGAUAGACAGCCAACAAAUGUCUUUAGUGUAAAUAGUUGCAUUGUUGAUCAAGCAUCAAAAUUAAUAUUUUGCUGUAACAAAAAUUGUAAUAAAUUUUUUGUUUGUUG